rnacentral:rRNA from 1 species
UACGUAGGGGGCAAGCGUUGUCCGGAAUCAUUGGGCGUAAAGCGCGUGUAGGCGGUUCGAUAAGUCUGCUGUGAAAGUCCAAGGCUCAACCUUGGGAUGCCGGUGGAUACUGUCGGGCUAGAGUGCGGAAGAGGCGGGUGGAAUUCCCGGUGUAGCGGUGAAAUGCGCAGAUAUCGGGAGGAACACCAAUUGCGAAGGCAGCUCGCUGGGACGUAACUGACGCUGAGACGCGAAAGCGUGGGGAGCAAACAGG